UACGUAGGGUGCAAGCGUUAAUCGGAAUUACUGGGCGUAAAGCGUGCGCAGGCGGUUGUGCAAGCCCGAUGUGAAAUCCCCGGGCUUAACCUGGGAAUGGCAUUGGUGACUGCACGGCUAGAGUGUGUCAGAGGGGGGUAGAAUUCCACGUGUAGCAGUGAAAUGCGUAGAGAUGUGGAGGAAUACCGAUGGCGAAGGCAGCCCCCUGGGAUAACACUGACGCUCAUGCACGAAAGCGUGGGGAGCAAACAGG
rnacentral:rRNA from 1 species